AACGGAACUGUCAUUUUUGAAGCAAUUAGCUUGCUAAGGGUGGAAAUGUUGGCAGUUUAGUGGCGGACGGGUGAGUAACGCGUGGGUAACCUGCCUUACACAGGGGGAUAACACCUGGAAACAGGUGCUAAUACCGCAUAACAGGAAGAGGCGCAUGCCACUUUCUUGAAAACUCCGGUGGUGUAAGAUGGACCCGCGUCUGAUUAGCUGGUUGGCGGGGUAACGGCCCACCAAGGCGACGAUCAGUAGCCGGCCUGACAGGGUGGACGGCCACAUUGGGACUGACACACGGCCCCAACUCCUACGGGAGGCAGCAGUGGGGAAUAUUGGACAAUGGGGGGAACCCUGAUCCGGGGGGGCCGCGAAAAAAAAGAAGUAUUUCGCCCCCCCCCACUCUAUCAGCAGGGAAGAAAGAAAUGACAAAACAAAACUAUGAAGCCCCGGCUAACUACGUGCCAACAGCCGCGGUAAUACGUAGGGGGCAAGCGUUAUCCGGAUUUACUGGGUGUAAAGGGAGCGUAGACGGUGAUACAAGUCUGAAGUGAAAGGCGGGGGCUCAACCCCCGGACUGCUUUGGAAACUGUAUGACUGGAGUGCAGGAGAGGUAACUCGAAUUCCUAGUGUAGCGGUGAA
rnacentral:rRNA from 1 species